rnacentral:rRNA from 1 species
CCUACGGGAGGCAGCAGUGAGGAAUAUUGGUCAAUGGACGAGAGUCUGAACCAGCCAAGUAGCGUGAAGGAUGACUGCACAAUGUGUCGUAAACCUCUUUUAUAAAGGAAUAAAACGAGGCACGUGUGCCUUUUUGCAUGUACUUUAUGAAUAAGGAUCGGCUAACUCCGUGCCAGCAGCCGCGGUAAUACGGAGGAUCCGAGCGUUAUCCGGAUUUAUUGGGUUUAAAGGGAGCGUAGGUGGGUUGUUAAGUCAGUUGUGAAAGUUCGCGGCUCAACCGUAAAAUUGCAAUUGAUACUGGCAGUCUUGAGUACAAGUGAGGUAGGCGGAAUGCGUGGUGUAGCGGUGAAAUGCUUAGAUAUCACGAAGAACCCCGAUUGCGAAGGCAGCUUACUAAACUGUGACUGACAUUGAUGCUCGAAAGUGUGGGUAUCAAACAGGAUUAGAUACCCCAGUAGUC